GAUUCUGGCUCAGGAUGAACGCUAGCGACAGGCUUAACACAUGCAAGUCGAGGGGCAGCAUAGAAGUAGCAAUACUUGGUGGCGACCGGCGCACGGGUGAGUAACGCGUAUGCAACCUACCUAUCAGAGGGGAAUAACCCGGCGAAAGUCGGACUAAUACCGCAUAAAACAGGGGCACCGCAUGGUGAUAUUUGUUAAGGAAAUUCGCUGAUAGAUGGGCAUGCGUUCCAUUAGGUAGUUGGUGAGGUAACGGCUCACCAAGCCGACGAUGGAUAGGGGAACUGAGAGGUUGGUCCCCCACACUGGUACUGAGACACGGACCAGACUCCUACGGGAGGCAGCAGUGAGGAAUAUUGGUCAAUGGGCGGGAGCCUGAACCAGCCAAGUCGCGUGAAGGAAAAGAAGGAUCUAUGGUUCGUAAACUUCUUUUGCAGGGGAAUAAAGUGCAGGACGUGUCCUGUUUUGUAUGUACCCUGAGAAUAAGGAUCGGCUAACUCCGUGCCAGCAGCAGC
rnacentral:rRNA from 1 species